GACGAACGCUGGCGGCGUGCCUAAUACAUGCAAGUAGAACGCACAGUUUAUACCGUAGCUUGCUACACCAUAGACUGUGAGUUGCGAACGGGUGAGUAACGCGUAGGUAACCUGCCUGGUAGCGGGGGAUAACUAUUGGAAACGAUAGCUAAUACCGCAUAAUAUUAAUUAUUGCAUGAUAAUUAAUUGAAAGGUGCAAUUGCACCACUACCAGAUGGACCUGCGUUGUAUUAGCUAGUAGGUGAGGUAACGGCUCACCUAGGCGACGAUACAUAGCCGACCUGAGAGGGUGAUCGGCCACACUGAGACUGAGACACGGCCCAGACUCCUACGGGAGGCAGCAGUAGGGAAUCUUCGGCAAUGGACGAAAGUCUGACCGAGCAACGCCGCGUGAGUGAAGAAGGUUUUCGGAUCGUAAAGCUCUGUUGUAAGAGAAGAACGGGUGUGAGAGUGGAAAGUUCACACUGUGACGGUAUCUUACCAGAAAGGGACGGCUAACUACGUG
rnacentral:rRNA from 1 species